rnacentral:tRNA from 1 species
GCCCGGUUACCUCAGUCGGUAGAGCACCAGACUCAUAAACUGGUUGUCGCGGGUUCGCAUCGGGCU